rnacentral:rRNA from 1 species
CAGAGGGUGCGAGCGUUGUUCGGAAUUACUGGGCGUAAAGCGCGCGCAGGCGGCCCGUUAAGUCUGCAGGUGAAAUGCCGGGGCUCAACCCCGCGCAUGCCUCGGAUACUGGGGGGCUGGAGAGACGUAGAGGCAAGCGGAAUUCCGGGUGUAGCGGUGGAAUGCGUAGAGAUCCGGAAGAACACCGGAGGCGAAGGCGGCUUGCUGGGCGUUGUCUGACGCUGAGGCGCGAAAGCGUGGGGAGCGAACAGGAUUAGAUACCCUGGUAGUCCACGCCGUAAACGAUGGGCACUAGGCGCGGGGUGGAUCGACCCAUCCUGUGCCGCAGCUAACGCGCUAAGUGCCCCGCCUGGGGAGUACGGCCGCAAGGCUG